rnacentral:lncRNA from 1 species
GCGGGAUAUUGACAAGCUUGCCUUUAAAAGGUGAAGAUACCAAAGGUAUGAUAGAAGCACAGUAAAAAACCAGACUUCGUCAUCACCAGAAAAAUGUCAAAAAGGAAACCAGUUUCUCCUAAACAUGAAAACUUCAAAUUUAGCAACAAAAAAUUUUUCAUAACGGAAUUUGAUUAGACUGUCGUACAAAGUGAGAGGUUUAGCGC